AUUUUGUGCCAGCAUUCGCGGUUAUACUUUUAAUUUAAGUUAAUUUUUUAGGUUUAUAUAUUUUUUUUUUUUUAUUUUUAUAUUAUUAUGAUGAGAUUUAUUUUUAUUAUUAUUAAUUUUUAGUUAUUUUUUUAAUAAUUGAAUAAUUUUGUGCCAGCAUUCGCGGUUAUACUUUUAAUUUAAUUUAUUUUUUUAUGUUUAUAUAUUUUUUUUUUGAUAAUUAUUUUUUUUAUUUAGGUUAAAUUUAUAUUUUUAUAUUAAUUUUCUUUUUUUUUUAUAUUAAGUUAUUUGUUUAGACUAGGAUUAGAUACCCUAUUAUAUUUAAUUUUUUAUCUUAUUAUUAAAAGUUAUUUUCUUUAAAAUUUUAAGAAUUUGGCGGUUAUUAUAUACUUUUUAGAGGAAUAUGUUCUUUAAUUGAUAAUCCACGAUAUUUUCUACUAAAUUUUUAUUUGUAUAUCUCUAUUAAUUUGAAUUUUUAUUAAUAAUUACUUUCUUUUUUUUUAUUAUUUUAUUUUAGGUCAAGGUGCAGUUAUAUUUUAGUAAGUAUGUAUUAUUUUAAUAUUAAAUAAUUUUUUUUUUUGAAUUAUUUCUUUUUGUUAUUAGGAUUUAAAAGUAAAUUUAAUUAAUUAGUUAUUUUGAAUUUAGUUCUUAAUAAUGUACAUAUCGCCCGUCGCUCCUAUUAAAGGAUAAGUCGUAACAAAGUAGAGUUAUCGGAAGUUGAUUCUAGUUUAAUAUUCAUU
rnacentral:ncRNA from 1 species